rnacentral:misc_RNA from 1 species
GAUGAAGAAACGCAGCGAAAUGCGAUACUUGGUGUGAAUUGCAGAAUCCCGUGAACCAUCGAGUCUUUGAACGCAAGUUGCGCCCGAAGCCAUUAGGCCGAGGGCACGCCUGCCUGGGCGUCACACGUCGUUGCCCCCCCAUCUACUCCUUCGGGAUUGCGGGGGGCGGAUGAUGGCCUCCCGUGCGCCUCGCCGCGCGGUUGGCAUAAAUGCCAAGUCCUCGGCGACGCACGCCACGACAAUCGGUGGUUGCGAAACCUCGGUUGCCCGUCGUGUGCGGUCGUCGCGCAUCGAGGGCUCGAAAAAAUUGCCGGGUUCCGGCUCGGCUUUCAACGCGACCCCAGGUCAGGCGGGGUUACCCGCUGAAUUUAAGCAUAUCAAUAAGCGGAGGA